rnacentral:rRNA from 1 species
AGAGUUUGAUCAUGGCUCAGAGCGAACGCUGGCGGCAGGCUUAACACAUGCAAGUCGAGCGGGCGUAGCAAUACGUCAGCGGCAGACGGGUGAGUAACGCGUGGGAACGUACCUUUUGGUUCGGAACAACACAGGGAAACUCGUGCUAAUACCGGAUAAGCCCUUACGGGGAAAGAUUUAUCGCCGAAAGAUCGGCCCGCGUCUGAUUAGCUAGUUGGUGAGGUAAUGGCUCACCAAGGCGACGAUCAGUAGCUGGUCUGAGAGGAUGAUCAGCCACAUUGGAACUGAGACACGGUCCAGACUCCUACGGGAGGCAGC